rnacentral:rRNA from 1 species
AUUGAACGCUGGCGGCAUGCUUUACACAUGCAAGUCGAACGGUAACAGGCCUUCGGGUGCUGACGAGUGGCGCACGGGUGAGUAAUGCAUCGGAACGUACCCAGAGGUGGGGGAUAACGCAGCGAAAGCUGUGCUAAUACCGCAUGUGAUCUGAGGAUGAAAGCGGGGGACCGAGCAGCAAUGUUUGGCCUCGCGCCUUUGGAGCGGCCGAUGUCGGAUUAGCUAGUUGGUGGGGUAAAGGCCUACCAAGGCGACGAUCCGUAGCUGGUCUGAGAGGACGACAGGCGGCACGGGGGCUGAGACAGGCCCAAGGCGCCUACGGGAGGCAGCAGUGGGGAAUUUUGGACAGUGGGCGCAAGCCUGAUCCAGCAAGGCCGCGUGCGGGAAGAAGGCCUCCGGGUCGUAAACCGCUUUUGGCAGGAACGAAACGGUGUCCGCUAAUACCGGGCGCUAAUGACGGUACCUGCAGAAUAAGCACCGGCUAACUACGUG